rnacentral:rRNA from 1 species
UGGGGAAUCUUCCGCAAUGGACGAAAGUCUGACGGAGCAACGCCGCGCGAGUGAAGACGGCCUUCGGGUUGUAAAGCUCUGUGAUCCGGGACGAAAGAGCCUGAGGUAAAUAGCCUAAGGAAGUGACGGUACCGGAAAAGCAAGCCACGGCUAACUACGUGCCAGCAGCCGCGGUAAUACGUAGGUGGCAAGCGUUGUCCGGAAUUAUUGGGCGUAAAGCGCGCGCAGGCGGCUUCCUAAGUCCAUCUUAAAAGUGCGGGGCUUAACCCCGUGAUGGGAUGGAAACUGGGAAGCUGGAGUAUCGGAGAGGAAAGUGGAAUUCCUAGUGUAGCGGUGAAAUGCGUAGAGAUUAGGAAGAACACCGGUGGCGAAGGCGACUUUCUGGACGAAAACUGACGCUGAGGCGCGAAAGCGUGGGGAGCAAACAGG